rnacentral:rRNA from 1 species
UGAUCCAGCCAUGCCGCGUGCAGGAAGACGGCCCUAUGGGUUGUAAACUGCUUUUGUACCGGAGAAAACCUUUCCCUGCGGGGAGAGCUGAUCGUACGGUGAGAAUAAGCAUCGGCUAACUUCGUGCCAGCAGCCGCGGUAAGACGAAGGAUGCAAGCGUUAUCCGGAUUCAUUGGGUUUAAAGGGAGCGUAGGCGGUCUAAUAAGUCAGUGGUGAAAUCUCUCGGCUUAACUGAGAAAUGGCCAUUGAUACUGUUGGACUUGAGUACAGAUGCCGUUGGCGGAAUAUGACAUGUAGUGGUGAAAUACAUAGAGAUGUCAUAGAACACCGAUGGCGAAGGCAGCUGACGAAACUGUAACUGACGCUGAGGCUCGAAAGUGUGGGGAUCAAACAGGAUUAGAUACCCUGGUAGUCCACACUGUAAACGAUGAUUACUCGCUGCUGAGGGGUGACUUUCAGUGGCUAAGCGAAAGCGAUAAGUAAUCCACCUGGGGAGUACGCCGGCAACGGUGAAACUCAAGG